UUGGACAUUGUUGAUCAAGAAAAUUUUUUUGAAAUUUGAAUUUGGAAGAUUUCGAAAGCUUUCAGUUCUUGACAUUGCCAAGUGUAUCAUUUUACUGAUAUCUUGAACGUCAUGUGGAUUUUUUGGUGACCGAAAAUUUUGCAGAAAACUAUUUUAGGGUUUGAAGAUGUGUGAUUGACAUAAAUUGAUCAUGGAGCCUCUGUCUUCAAAAUGAUAGUCGUUCACUGCUUUGAGAUUAUUUGAUCUACUGAUGAAACCCCAGGCAUCAUUGAAGAACAAUAAAGCGACAUAGUGCAGAAUGUAGUACAGCAAGGGCGAUCGAAUAGACGGAGCGUCGCUCGAAAAGGUUACAAGGACUUCUAAAUGUUGAUG
rnacentral:lncRNA from 1 species